rnacentral:rRNA from 1 species
UGGGGAAUAUUGCACAAUGGGCGCAAGCCUGAUGCAGCCAUGCCGCGUGUAUGAAGAAGGCCUUCGGGUUGUAAAGUACUUUCAGUCGGGAGGAAGGUGUCAAGGUUAAUAACCUUGGCAAUUGACGUUACCGACAGAAGAAGCACCGGCUAACUCCGUGCCAGCAGCCGCGGUAAUACGGAGGGUGCAAGCGUUAAUCGGAAUUACUGGGCGUAAAGCGCACGCAGGCGGUUGAUUGAGUCAGAUGUGAAAUCCCCGGGCUUAACCCGGGAAUUGCAUCUGAUACUGGUCAGCUAGAGUCUUGUAGAGGGGAGUAGAAUUCCAUGUGUAGCGGUGAAAUGCGUAGAGAUGUGGAGGAAUACCGGUGGCGAAGGCGGCCCCCUGGACAAAGACUGACGCUCAGGUGCGAAAGCGUGGGGAGCAAACA